rnacentral:misc_RNA from 1 species
GAAAUGCGAUAAGUAAUGUGAAUUGCAGAAUUCAGUGAAUCAUCGAAUCUUUGAACGCAUCUUGCGCUCCUUGGUAUUCCUUGGAGCAUGCCUGUUUGAGUAUCAUGAAAUCUUCAAAGUAAAUCUUUUGUUAACUCAAUUGGUUUCUACUUUGGUAUUGGAGGUCUUUGCAGCUUCACACCUGCUCCUCUUUGUUCAUUAGCUGGAUCUCAGUGUUAUGCUUGGUUCCACUCGGCGUGAUAAGUUAUCUAUCGCUGAGGACACUGUAGAAGGUGGCCAAGGUAAAUGCAGAUGAACCGCUUCUAAUAGUCCAUUGACUUGGACAAUACUUUUAUGAUCUGAUCUCAAAUCAGGUAGGACUACCCGCUGAACUUAAGC